AGCUGUUUGCACGAGCGUCUCUUUAAACACCUUCCUAGGCGAAACUCACUCCAUGCAAACCCUAGUUUAAACACGGAAGCUUUGUCUUUCAGUUGCUUUGUCACUCUUUGUUCUCCGACAUGUUCGGAUCAUCUUCUUCUCAGUUUUCUGGAGACAACGGCUCUGGGUGCCCUUAAUGCUUGCAUGGCUUCUUUCAAGCUUUCUUUUUUUCUUUUAAUCUUUGCGCAACUGCAAGAAAGAAGUCCAUUCUUCUUGUUCUUCUACUUCUUCUCUUAAGUUUGUGCUUCUUUCAAGCUUUCUUUUUUUCUUUUAAUCUUUGCACAACUGCAAGAAAGAAGUCCAUUCUUCUUGUUCUUCUACUUCUUCUUCUCUUAAGUUUGUGCAAGUCGCUUGGAUGGGUUCUUUUAUGUUUGUGAUUUUGGUUUGUCUGUAAUAGAACCCUGCCAAGUUACUCAAAGCUCAGAUGAACCUUACAAAGCACACACGUGAUGAGAAGGACUAUUUCUCACCAGAGUAAGAGAGUUUUUCUAAGCUGAUGCUACUAAAGAAAAAUUAUGUUGGACAAAGAAAAAACAUCCUACAUGUUAGUUUGAUAUAUUAUACGAUUGUAUUAGACUAUGCAUCAUUUUUUCACUGUCAAUGCCUAUCACUUGAGGGCUUGAAGCCAUCCUGCCCCUAGGUAAGCAAGACUGCAUGUCACCUAAGCUAGGGAGAUAGGUCAUAAACUUUUAACCAGCAGUAAAACUUCAUCAUGUAACUUGCAUCUUCAAUGCCACAUUGAUCUAACUCAUUUAGUUUUGGAGAUCCAAUAUGUAGAUGACAACAACAGCAUCCAUACCAGCUACAAAUUGCUUGUGCAGCGAUCUGUGAGUUAUCAUCAUGAGGCCAACUAAGGGUGCAACUGAUGAAUUGAGCAUUUUUGGGAUCUCUAAGAGUGGGAGUUGAAGGAAAUGUUCUUGAGGAACUUGAUAUUGAAAAUCCAGCUCUUUCUUGCAAGCAUAGGGGACAUGGUGGUAAGCAUAAUUAGGGUGUGAAAUUUGCUUGGGCGAGUCGAGGUCGGGCAUGAAAGAGGACUGAUCAUCAUACCAACAAGGAGAUCCAUGCUCGCUCAUCUUGCGUACAGUUGUCAUUCUUUUCUUGAACACCCGACAAACAACCCAACCUUCUUCCUGUUCAAGUAAUAGAAAAGGUUCACUUGUCAAUUUUGUCAUCUAGUUAUUAAAGUAGCAGUGUUGAAAAUAGCCAAAAAACCAAAAGAAAACGCCACCUAGUACCACCAAAUAACAAAGACAAAAGUAAGAUUUAGUUAUAUCUUUCUCAUUAGAUGAUUUUCCAAUCUUCUAACUUGAAAAAAACAAAUCAUAGUGAUUUGAACUUGCUUUGAGGAUAUCAAUAAUAGAGGCCAAUCAACAUUGUCAUCCAUAUCAUCCUAUAAUUUGGUAAAUGCCUUUAGUAAUUGAUACAUAGAUCGUGCAUACAUAUCAUGGGAUGAAUCAAGGCCAGAUACCUAGCUAGGUAACUAUACCUUACAACUUAAUAUUUCAAUUAAGACAAGUUUUAUUUGCAGUUGAUCAUGUGCUUGUAGGGUCAUAAUUCUAACCUAAGCACAACUACUUCAGUAAUAGUUAUGCCUUGAGACCAUAAAAAUCCAUAUAUUUUUGUAGAAACAUCAAGCUUUGUCCAAAGCAUUGAUAAAAGAAGGAAUAGUCAAGACGCUUUUGAGAUGUCUUAAGGAUCUCAUGUUGCAAUACGCAUGGGCAAAUUGGACAAUUUGAAAAAGAGUUUGUAACAAGAUGGUUGAUAAUUACUUGCCUGACCAGUUCCGUUCUCAUCUGUCUCUAAACGGUAUUCAUGCAUAAUCCAGUCAGAUUUCUGUCCAUUCGGAGCUCGGCCUUUAUAAAAGACUAAUGUCUUCCUCAUGCCAAUUAAGUCAUGCUUGGAGUAAAUAGCCUUGUCUCUUCCUGUUGCUUUCCAGAAUCCAGCUGCAGUGGCUCUAUUUGUGCGAGUUCCGGUUGGAUAUUUCUUGUCCUUAUGGCUAAAAAAAUACCAUUCAUUCUGAUCUUCUGUCCCGAUACAGCAUAACUCUGCCCACAUUUUACAUUGCAUAUAGUUUACAAUUUACUUUCACUGAAUUCAAAAUGUUAUAUUUAGUUGUGAAAACUUGGAACUGCUAGUACCUUGAAGAUCCCAUGGCUCAAUUUUGUAAAGGUCGACGUCCUUAAUGACAUCAAGAUCGAUCCUCCUUGAAGUGAUCUUUUUCCUCAGGUAGUAAUCAACAAGUUCUUCAUCAGUAGGGUGGAAUCGAAAUCCCGGGGGGACACGUGAAAAGGUGUUCAUAUUCGAUCCUCUUUAGAUAUAUCCUGAGACCUGCAGCUGGGUUAAGAAUUUUCAAUCAGCAUUUCUUGAAACCAUCUUCAAGAUCAACAAAACAAGAUGUCAAGUUCAUAAACCCAGUAGUCAUUUAAACAAUAGCUACGUGUAAGAAGCGUGACUAAAGGAAACUUCUUCUUAGAGGUAGUCAAAGAGUUAUAUCGUGAAAAAUGGCGCUCACUUUUGCCAUUAAAAAAAUAUUUUGUUCACGUGAAAACUUGUUUACCAUUGUUCGUUCAAAUAAGAUUUCUAUACGAGAAUGUAGUUUUUCCCAGUCCGUUCAACCUAGCUUACAAGCAAGUGACAUUGUAAAUCAACUAAAUAAUGGCCAAAAGGUAAUUCAAAAGCAAUGUUAAAG